GACGAACGCUGGCGGCGUGCUUAACACAUGCAAGUCGAGCGGUAAGGCCCUUUCGGGGGUACACGAGCGGCGAACGGGUGAGUAACACGUGGGUGACCUGCCCUUAGCUCUGGGAUAAGCCUGGGAAACUGGGUCUAAUACCGGAUAUGACUCCAUGACGCAUGUUGUGGGGUGGAAAGCCUUGUGCGGCUAGGGAUGGGCCCGCGGCCUAUCAGCUUGUUGGUGGGGUGAUGGCCUACCAAGGCGACGACGGGUAGCCGGCCUGAGAGGGCGACCGGCCACACUGGGACUG
rnacentral:rRNA from 1 species